GUGCCAGCAGCCGCGGUAAUACGUAGGUGGCAAGCGUUGUCCGGAAUUAUUGGGCGUAAAGCGCGCGCAGGCGGUUUCUUAAGUCUGAUGUGAAAGCCCCCGGCUCAACCGGGGAGGGUCAUUGGAAACUGGGAAACUUGAGUGCAGAAGAGGAGAGUGGAAUUCCACGUGUAGCGGUGAAAUGCGUAGAGAUGUGGAGGAACACCAGUGGCGAAGGCGACUCUCUGGUCUGUAACUGACGCUGAGGCGCGAAAGCGUGGGGAGCGAACAGGAUUAGAUACCCUGGUAGUCC
rnacentral:rRNA from 1 species